rnacentral:rRNA from 1 species
AUGGCUGCUGCCUUCUCCUCCACCGUCGGUGCCCCGGCUUCUACGCCGACCAACUUCCUUGGGAAGAAGCUCAAGAAGCAGGUGACCUCGGCCGUGAACUACCAUGGCAAGAGCUCCAAGGCCAACAGGUUCACAGUCAUGGCAGCGGAAAACCUCGACGAGAAGAGGAACACGGACAAGUGGAAGGGUCUUGCGUACGAUAUCUCCGACGACCAGCAGGACAUCACCAGAGGGAAGGGCAUCGUGGACUCGCUCUUCCAGGCGCCCACGGGCGACGGCACCCACGAGGCCGUCCUCAGCUCCUACGAGUACGUCAGCCAGGGACUCAAGAAGUACGACUUCGACAACACCAUGGGAGGCUUCUACAUCGCUCCUGCUUUCAUGGACAAGCUUGUUGUCCAUCUCUCCAAGAACUUCAUGACCCUGCCCAACAUCAAGAUCCCACUCAUCUUGGGUAUCUGGGGAGGCAAGGGUCAAGGAAAAUCAUUCCAGUGCGAGCUUGUCUUCGCCAAGAUGGGCAUCAACCCAAUCAUGAUGAGUGCCGGAGAGCUGGAGAGUGGCAACGCCGGAGAGCCAGCCAAGCUCAUCAGGCAGCGGUACCGUGAGGCUGCAGACAUGAUCAAGAAGGGUAAGAUGUGCUGCCUCUUCAUCAACGAUCUUGACGCUGGUGCGGGUCGGAUGGGCGGGACCACACAGUACACCGUCAACAACCAGAUGGUGAACGCCACCCUCAUGAACAUCGCCGAUGCCCCCACCAACGUGCAGCUCCCAGGCAUGUACAACAAGGAGGAGAACCCUCGUGUGCCCAUCGUCGUCACUGGUAACGAUUUCUCGACGUUGUACGCCCCUCUGAUCCGUGAUGGCCGUAUGGAGAAGUUCUACUGGGCUCCCACCCGCGACGACCGUAUCGGUGUCUGCAAGGGUAUCUUCCAGACCGACAAUGUCAGCGACGAGUCCGUCGUCAAGAUCGUCGACACCUUCCCAGGACAAUCCAUCGACUUUUUCGGUGCUCUGCGUGCUCGGGUGUACGACGACGAGGUGCGCAAGUGGGUGACCUCUACCGGUAUCGAGAACAUUGGCAAGAGGCUGGUGAACUCGCGGGACGGACCCGUGACCUUUGAGCAGCCAAAGAUGACAGUGGAGAAGCUGCUAGAGUACGGGCACAUGCUUGUCCAGGAGCAGGACAAUGUCAAGCGUGUGCAGCUUGCUGACACCUACAUGAGCCAGGCAGCUCUGGGUGAUGCUAACCAGGAUGCGAUGAAGACUGGUUCCUUCUACGGUAAAGGGGCACAGCAAGGUACUUUGCCUGUACCGGCAGGAUGCACCGACCAGACUGCCAAGAACUUCGACCCAACGGCGAGGAGUGACGACGGGAGCUGCCUUUACACCUUUUAA